rnacentral:rRNA from 1 species
GAUGAACGCUGGCGGCGUGCCUAACACAUGCAAGUCGAGCGAGAAGUAAAGAAAUGAAGCUUCGGUAGAUUUUCAUUAUGGAAAGCGGCGGACGGGUGAGUAACGCGUAGGCAACCUGCCCUGUACAGGGGGAUAGCCACCCGAAAAGGUGAUUAAUACCCCAUGAUGCAAGAGAUACACAUGUAUCACUUGUCAAAGAUUUAUCGGUAUGGGAUGGGCCUGCGUCUGAUUAGCUAGUUGGUGGGGUAACGGCUUACCAAGGCAACGAUCAGUAGCCGACCUGAGAGGGUGAUCGGCCACAUUGGAACUGAGACACGGUCCAAACUCCUACGGGAGGCAGCAGUGGGGAAUAUUGCACAAUGGGGGAAACCCUGAUGCAGCAACGCCGCGUGAAGGAAGAAGGCCUUCGGGUUGUAAACUUCUGUCCUAGGGGAAGAAACAAAUGACAUUACCCUUGGAG